rnacentral:rRNA from 1 species
UGAAGCGGCAACAGCUCAAAUUUGAAAUCUUGCCUUCGGGCCGAGUUGUAAUUUGUAGAGGAAGCUUUUGGUGAGGCACCUUCUGAGUCCCCUGGAACGGGGCGCCAUAGAGGGUGAGAGCCCCGUAUAGUCGGAUGCCGAUCCAAUGUAAAGCUCCUUCGACGAGUCGAGUAGUUUGGGAAUGCUGCUCAAAAUGGGAGGUAAAUUUCUUCUAAAGCUAAAUACCGGCCAGAGACCGAUAGCGCACAAGUAGAGUGAUCGAAAGAUGAAAAGCACCUUGAAAAGGGGGUUAAAUAGCACGUGAAAUUGUUGAAAGGGAAGCGUUUGCGGCCAGACUUGCGCCGCCCCGAUCAUCCGGUGUUCUCACCGGUGCACUCGGGGCGGCGCAGGCCAGCAUCGGUUUCGGCGGGGGGAUAAAGGCCCGGGGAACGUAGCUCCUUCGGGAGUGUUAUAGCCCCGGGCGUAAUGCCCUCGCCGGGACCGAGGUUCGCGCAUC